UACGUAGGGUGCAAGCGUUAAUCGGAAUACUGGGCGUAAAGCGUGCGCAGGCGGUUAUAUAAGACAGUUGUGAAAUCCCCGGGCUCAACCUGGGAACUGCAUCUGUGACUGUAUAGCUAGAGUACGGUAGAGGGGGAUGGAAUUCCGCGUGUAGCAGUGAAAUGCGUAGAUAUGCGGAGGAACACCGAUGGCGAAGGGCAAUCCCCUGGACCUGUACUGACGCUCAUGCACGAAAGCGUGGGGAGC
rnacentral:rRNA from 1 species